rnacentral:misc_RNA from 1 species
AACGCACCUUGCGCUCCUUGGUAUUCCGAGGAGCAUGCCUGUUUGAGUGUCAUUAAAUUCUCAACCUUACCAGCUUUUGCUGAUAAUGGCUUGGAUGUGGGGGUUUUUGCUGGCUUCGUCAAGAAAUCUGCUCCCCUAAAAUGCAUUAGCCGGUGCCCCGCGUGGACUGUCUAUUGGUGUGAUAAUUAUCUACGCCGUGGAUGUCUACUUUAAAUGGGUUGUGCUGCUUCUAACCGUCCGUUCAUUUGGACAAUCAAUGACAAUUUGACCUCAAAUCAGGUAGGACUACCCGCUGAACUUAA